UACGUAGGGUGCGAGCGUUGUCCGGAAUUAUUGGGCGUAAAGCGCGUGUAGGCGGCCAGAAAAGUCCGCUGUGAAAACUCGAGGCUCAACUUCGAGCUGUCGGUGGAAACUUUCUGGCUAGAGUCCGGAAGAGGAGAGUGGAAUUCCUGGUGUAGCGGUGAAAUGCGCAGAUAUCAGGAAGAACACCCGUGGCGAAGGCGGCUCUCUGGGACGGUACUGACGCUGAGACGCGAAAGCGUGGGGAGCGAACAGG
rnacentral:rRNA from 1 species